rnacentral:rRNA from 1 species
UCCAGAGGGGGCAAGCGUUGUUCGGAAUUACUGGGCGUAAAGGGCGCGUAGGCGGUCUCGUAAGUCCGGUGUGAAAGCCCCGGGCUCAACCUGGGAAUUGCAUUCGAGACUGCAUUGCUGGAGUACGGAAGAGGAGGGCGGAAUUCCCGGUGUAGCGGUGAAAUGCGUAGAUAUCGGGAGGAACAUCAGUGGCGAAGGCGGCCCUCUGGUCCAGUACUGACACUCAAGUGCGAAAGCGUGGGGAGAAAACAGG